UUUUCCUCAAACAAAUUAUUACUGUUACUAGUGUAACACUGAAGGCAGCGAUUCCCCAAAUUUGACGAAAUGGUAGAACCAGAAGAAGAGAUUGUCCAUCGCCACAAUCCAAAUUGGAAAAAACCCUCCAUAAUUAGUUUGCUCCAUCUCUUCCUUCCCGCUGCAAUUCUUAUUCUCAUUCUAUAGACUUCCUCCCUAUGCAUGGGCAUUGAUUUUCGAUCCUCUACAGUUUUGUAGGCGAUAAUUUUGAAAUUUUUGUUCCUUUUUCAUCUAUUUUGCAGCACAACUAUUGCUCUUAGUUGUGAUGGGAUUGGCGAGUGGGGAGAUUGUGCAAGAGAGCCGCUGGGGUCAGGGCUUCGGCGCCAGCUUUUGUAUUCUUCAACACUCUUUCUUUCUGGGAUGUUUACAUAUCUGUGGUUCGCCGAGCAUUAUGUUAUUGGUUCCUGGCUUUUUAACCCAUCAUUCUUGCGCUGACCUAUCUUUCCUGAAUUCAGUCAACGAAAUCGAAUCCCAGGAAAAGGAAGUUGUUUUUGUAUAGAAGUUGAAAGUUUCAACUUCUGUUGCACAUCAAGAGUCUCCAGCUGAAGAGCCAUUUACAACAUACAGGACAGUAAGAUAUUGCAGGUACUGCAAGAAUUGUGUUGUUGGACCAUCAUUGUCCAGAUUUUGGAAACUGUGUAGGUCAACGAAAUCAUGCUCUUUUUAUAGUGCUCAUUGUUGGUUUUGUGAUAUCCGAGACUUCUUUUGUAUUAUGUUCUUCUUAAUUUACAGCUAAGUCUAACACCUCAAAAGAUGUUGGAGGGAAUCCUAUUACAUCCAGAAAUUUGGUUGUUGUACAACAUUGUUUUGCUUGAUUCAAGUGAUUUGGCAGGUUGUUUUCAUAAUGUGGCAUUUCUAUUGCGCAUGUUUUAACAUCAAAAUGGAUGAAUGGAUAAAUUGGAAAAGGUAUCCAGAAUUUCCAGAGUAAAGUUAGACCCCAUGAUGCAAAUGGAUAGCUUCCUUGCAAACUGUGAUCAUCAUCAUCAUCAAAAGCUCUUAGCAUCUUUUACGUAAAGCCUAGGGCCCUAGAGCUAAAUGAAAAGCUCGUCCGACUUGUUAUCUAGACCGAGGGAACGUAGGAUGCUCAUGCUCGAAUCUGACGAGGUUUGUUUGGUGAUGCAUCCACCAGAAAUCAAAUCCAACCUCCUCCACUCCUUAAAACUGGGGGGUCCGAUGUUUUUCACGGUUGAGCCCGACGUUGUUGGACGGACUCGAGGCCGACAGUCGGAUUCAAUCUGGACAGCAAAGUCAGUUAUGGAUGGAAUCAAAGGUGUUAAAUGCUUCCAAACAACACACACUUUUGUAGCCCCCUUGAAUGAAUCAUUCAAGAAUUGACAUUUAUUGAAUCUUCACGAAUUUUGUUUUUUUCCUAUUAUUUCCUGCACGGGUAAGCCCCAUUUGUAACAUGGCAAGCGUCAAUAUGUGUAAGAGCUUGAUUUGCUUCUAGUGUUCCAAAUCGCAACAGCAGCAAGUUUUUAA